rnacentral:SRP_RNA from 1 species
GCUGGGCGUGGUGGCUCACGCCUGUAAUCCCAGCACUUUGGGAGGCUGAGGCGGGUGGAUCACCUGAGGUCAGGAGUUCGAGACCAGCCUGGCCAACAUGGUGAAACCCCAUCUCUA